GGUGGCUCAGUGGAAGAGCACUUGCUUUGCAUGCAUGAGGCCCUGGGUUCGAUUCCUCAGUACCA
rfam:Dipodomys ordii contig_2743, whole genome shotgun sequence.